rnacentral:rRNA from 1 species
UACGUAGGGUGCGAGCGUUGUCCGGAAUUAUUGGGCGUAAAGAGCUUGUAGGCGGUCUGUCGCGUCUGCUGUGAAAAUCCGGGGCUCAACCCCGGACUUGCAGUGGGUACGGGCAGACUAGAGUGUGGUAGGGGAGACUGGAAUUCCUGAUGUAGCGGUGAAAUGCGCAGAUAUCAGGAGGAACACCAAUGGCGAAGGCAGCUCGCUGGGACGGUACUGACGCUGAGGCGCGAAAGCGUGGGGAGCAAACAGG